rnacentral:rRNA from 1 species
AUUGAACGCUGGCGGCAUGCCUUACACAUGCAAGUCGAACGGCAGCACGGGAGCUUGCUCCUGGUGGCGAGUGGCGAACGGGUGAGUAAUAUAUCGGAACGUACCCUAGAGUGGGGAUAACGCAGCGAAAGUUGCGCUAAUACUGCAUACGAUCUAUGGAUGAAAGCGGGGGAUCGCAAGACCUCGCGCGAUUGGAGCGGCCGAUAUCAGAUUAGGUAGUUGGUGAGGUAAAGGCUCACCAAGCCGACGAUCUGUAGCUGGUCUGAGAGGACGACCAGCCACACUGGGACUGAGACACGGCCCAGACUCCUACGGGAGGCAGCAGUGGGGAAUUUUGGACAAUGGGCGCAAGCCUGAUCCAGCAAUGCCGCGUGCAGGAUGAAGGCC